UGUAAAAUAACUUCUGGUUGCUGCAUUAUCAACACCAGAGGGAAGAAUUGGAACUGGUAUUGUGGCGCUACUGCGCCAACAGCGUUACGCUACCGUGCCUGAGUUGACUCUCUAGAGUCACAUAUAGCCUGGGGCCUUCUGCAAUAGUAACGUUCCCUAGAGCAAUCGGCAUCGGCCAUUACCUUCCGUUUGUUAAGCAUAGGCACGUGACUGAUUGAAGCAUGUCAACUCGAAUAAAGUUCGUUUGUUAAAGUAUAUGAUAACUGUGGUGUUUUCUAUCUACAACCCGGCCACAGUAUCCCGAAAAAACCAAUUCCUUGAUUAAUUAAACAACUAAACAUGUAUCUAACUCAAGCCAAACAAGGCCAGUUAAAAUUAAUUGAUAAUUCAAAGUAAAACAGAGCAGUUAAUAAAAGAAGGACAAAAUAAUAAGAAAUAUGUGAACUAGACAUAAGAAACAAGAAAUAUAUGUGAACCCGACAUAACGUGGACAAAUAAUCAAACAGCAAAACGUCAAACGCUGAAGGUCAAAUCAAGGAGCAGACAGCGAACUGCUAAGAAUAUUUAGCGUGUAAUAUCAUCGCACUGUUGCGAAUAAAACCAGAUUUGCGAUAAAAUGGAAGAAUUUAAAUAAACUAUAAAAUCAACCAAUGCAAUGGUGUGGAAUGAAAUAAAAGGUGCCAAGCAGCAAAUAGCAAAUGUCAGUCAACAUCAGCUAGAUUAAACUCGGCGGCAAAAGUGCAAACUGCAUAACACCACUACCAGGAGUAAAACAAAACAAACAUUAUUCAUUAACAAAAUCCUACAGAUCAACUAGAUGGAAUCAAAACCAAGACUUAGCCAAGUUAGAGUAACAAUCAACAAUAAAUAGGAGAAGAAGAAAGUAAAUCAUAGAAAACUGAUAAGUAUAAGUAUACCAGAAGUAAAUAAAAUGAAUGAGACAAAGGAUAGCCAAAAACAUCGGAUUUUAAUACCAAAUAAGCACCAUGCAUUGGCACAAAAUAAAGAAAGGAGAAGAAGAUCACCACAAAGGAAAAGGUGCAGCACACAUAUAUAGAAUAAUGUACGUACGAGUGCAAAACUCUUCAUAAUCUAUUCAUCAAAUCUAUCAAGGUGACAACCAGAAGAACGACUAGAAAUAAGAUGGAACUAGAUUAAAAUGCUGAAUCAGCAGAAAACACCUCCUGAGCCGCCAAGAUAAUACAGGUUAAGAAUCGAUUAAAACUUCUAUUACAUAUAACCAAACCACCUUGCAAUGAACAGAAAAUUAUACCAACCUAUCAUGAAAGAAUACCAUACCUCCACAAAAGAAGAUCUAGUUAAUAUCUAGUUAUAAGUCAAGAUAAUUAGCUGAGGAUAGAUCCAAGAAGGAAAAACAAUAAAUAAUGGUAAGCAUAAUUGUUGGACCGACAAAUUAAUACGCGUGUUCAUACUUGGCGCGUUCGACGUCGCCGCCGGAUUUUGCUAAGAAGCAGGAAAGGGGGAGGCGCGGUGUGUCGCACCGUAGCGAGCGCUGCUAGCGCACUUUUGUUUUAUUAU